AGCCCUGAAAAUGGAUGGCGCUGAAGCGUCGAGCCUAUACCGGGCCGUCGCCGCAAUACGAGCCCCCCGGGAGCCAUGCGGCGACGAGUAGGAGGGCCGUCGCGGUGGCGCAGAAGUCCGGGGCGUGAGCCUGGAUGGAGCCGCCGCGAGUGCAGAUCUUGGUGGUAGUAGCAAAUAUUCAAACGAGAACUUUGAAGGCCGAGAAGAA
rnacentral:rRNA from 1 species